UGGCUCAGUGGAUAGAGUGUCAGCCUGCAGGCUGAUGGGUCCUGGGUUCGAUUCCCGG
rnacentral:tRNA from 1 species